CGAUGUGAUGCUAAUCUCCAAACCAUGUCUCAGUUCGGAUCGGAGCUGCAACUCGACUCCGUGAAGCUGGAUUCGCUAGUAAUCGCGCAUCAGCCAUGGCGCGGUGAAUACGUUCCCGGGCCUUGUACACACCGCCCGUCAAGCCAUGGGAGCCGGGGUACCUGAAGUCCGUAACCGCGAGGAUCGGCCUAGGGUAAAACUGGUGACUGGGGCUAAGUCGUAACAAGGUACC
rnacentral:rRNA from 1 species